UACGUAGGGUGCGAGCGUUGUCCGGAAUUACUGGGCGUAAAGGGCGCGUAGGCGGAUGUUUAAGUCAGAGGUGAAAGCCCAGGGCUCAACCUUGGAACUGCCUUUGAUACUGGGCAUCUUGAGUAUGGGAGAGGUGAGUGGAACUCCGAGUGUAGAGGUGAAAUUCGUAGAUAUUCGGAAGAACACCAGUGGCGAAGGCGACUCACUGGCCCAUUACUGACGCUGAGGCGCGAAAGCGUGGGGAGCAAACAGG
rnacentral:rRNA from 1 species